AUUGAACGCUGGCGGCAGGCUUAACACAUGCAAGUCGAGCGGAGUGAUGGUGCUUGCACUAUCACUUAGCGGCGGACGGGUGAGUAAUGCUUAGGAAUCUGCCUAUUAGUGGGGGACAACAUCCCGAAAGGGAUGCUAAUACCGCAUACGUCCUACGGGAGAAAGCAGGGGAUCACUUGUGACCUUGCGCUAAUAGAUGAGCCUAAGUCGGAUUAGCUAGUUGGUGGGGUAAAGGCCUACUAAGGCGACGAUCUGUAGCGGGUCUGGGAGGAUGAUCCGCCACACUGGGACUGAGACACGGCCCAGACUCCUACGGGAGGCAGCAGUGGGGAAUAUUGGACAAUGGGGGGAACCCUGAUCCAGCCAUGCCGCGUGUGUGAAGAAGGCCUUAUGGUUGUAAAGCACUUUAAGCGAGGAGGAGGCUUACCUAGUUAAUACCUGGGAUAAGUGGACGUUACUCGCAGAAUAAGCACCGGCUAACUCUGUGCCAGCAGCCGCAGUAA
rnacentral:rRNA from 1 species